CCUACGGGAGGCAGCAGUGGGGAAUAUUGGGCAAUGGGCGCAAGCCUGACCCAGCAACGCCGCGUGAAGGAAGAAGGCUUUCGGGUUGUAAACUUCUUUUCUCAGGGACGAAGCAAGUGACGGUACCUGAGGAAUAAGCCACGGCUAACUACGUGCCAGCAGCCGCGGUAAUACGUAGGUGGCAAGCGUUAUCCGGAUUUACUGGGUGUAAAGGGCGUGUAGGCGGGACUGCAAGUCAGAUGUGAAAACCACGGGCUCAACCUGUGGACUGCAUUUGAAACUGUAGUUCUUGAGUACAGGAGAGGCAGGCGGAAUUCCUGGUGUAGCGGUGAAAUGCGUAGAUAUUAGGAGGAACACCGGUGGCGAAGGCGGUCUGCUAGACAGCAACUGACGCUGAGGCGCGAAAGCGUGGGGAGCAAACAGGAUUAGAUACCCGUGUAGUC
rnacentral:rRNA from 1 species